GCCAGCAGCUAUAGCACCCUGCAACUCACAACUGGCAGCCCACUGAAGCUCAGCAGGUGUGGGCCUGGUCAGUACCUGGAUGGGAGACCUCCUGGGGAAAACUAAGGAUGCUGCUGGAA
rnacentral:rRNA from 1 species